rnacentral:rRNA from 1 species
UACGUAGGGGGCAAGCGUUAUCCGGAUUUACUGGGUGUAAAGGGAGCGUAGACGGCUGUGCAAGUCUGGAGUGAAAACCCGGGGCUCAACCCCGGGAUUGCUUUGGAAACUGUGUAGCUGGAGUACCGGAGAGGCAAGUGGAAUUCCUAGUGUAGCGGUGAAAUGCGUAGAUAUUAGGAGGAACACCAGUGGCGAAGGCGGCUUGCUGGACGGUAACUGACGUUGAGGCUCGAAAGCGUGGGGAGCAAACAGG